rnacentral:rRNA from 1 species
AUUGAACGCUGGCGGCAGGCUUAACACAUGCAAGUCGAGCGGGGUGAUGGUGCUUGCACUAUCACUUAGCGGCGGACGGGUGAGUAAUGCUUAGGAAUCUGCCUAUUAGUGGGGGACAACAUCUCGAAAGGGAUGCUAAUACCGCAUACGUCCUACGGGAGAAAGCAGGGGAUCACUUGUGACCUUGCGCUAAUAGAUGAGCCUAAGUCGGAUUAGCUAGGUGGUGGGGUAAAGGCCUACCAAGGCGACGAUCUGUAGCGGGUCUGAGAGGAUGCUCCGCCACACUGGGACAUAGACACUGCACAGACUCCUACGGGAGGCAGCAGUGGGGAAUAUUGGACAAUGGGGGGAACCCUGAUCCAGCCAUGCCGCGUGUGUGAAGAAGGCCUUAUGGUUGUAAAGCACUUUAAGCGAGGAGGAGGCUCUUUUGGUUAAUACCCAAGAUGAGUGGACGUUACUCGCAGAAUAAGCACCGGCUAACUCUGUGCCAGCCGCCGCCGUAA